AGUGAACGCUGGCGGUAGGCCUAACACAUGCAAGUCGAACGGCAGCACAGUAAGAGCUUGCUCUUAUGGGUGGCGAGUGGCGGACGGGUGAGGAAUACAUCGGAAUCUACUUUUUCGUGGGGGAUAACGUAGGGAAACUUACGCUAAUACCGCAUACGACCUACGGGUGAAAGCAUGGGAUCUUCGGACCUUGCGCGAUUGAAUGAGCCGAUGUCGGAUUAGCUAGUUGGCGGGGUAAAGGCCCACCAAGGCGACGAUCCGUAGCUGGUCUGAGAGGAUGAUCAGCCACACUGGAACUGAGACACGGUCCAGACUCCUACGGGAGGCAGCAGUGGGGAAUAUUGGACAAUGGGCGCAAGCCUGAUCCAGCCAUACCGCGUGGGUGAAGAAGGCCUUCGGGUUGUAAAGCCCUUUUGUUGGGAAAGAAAAGCAGCAGGUUAAUACCCCGCUGUUCUGACGGUACCCAAGGAAUAAGCACCGGCUAACUUCGUG
rnacentral:rRNA from 1 species